AAAGUUCUUAAAAAUGGAAAUCGAAAUCGGUUCACCCAGGGCGAGGCCCAUUGCACUCUGGCUGUGCUGACCCCUGCGAAUUCCCCAAAUGUGGGAAUUUUGACUGCAUAAUUUCUCGUAGUGGGGGACUGCAUUAGCACUCUCCCCUG
rnacentral:snRNA from 1 species